rnacentral:rRNA from 1 species
CCUACGGGAGGCAGCAGUGGGGAAUAUUGGACAAUGGGCGAAAGCCUGAUCCAGCAAUGCCGCGUGAGUGAUGAAGGCCUUAGGGUUGUAAAGCUCUUUUACCCGGGAAGAUAAUGACUGUACCGGGAGAAUAAGCCCCGGCUAACUCCGUGCCAGCAGCCGCGGUAAUACGGAGGGGGCUAGCGUUAUUCGGAAUUACUGGGCGUAAAGCGUACGUAGGCGGUGGUUCAAGUCAGAGGUGAAAGCCCGGAGCUCAACUCCGGAACUGCCUUUGAAACUAGAUCGCUAGAACAUCGGAGAGGUAAGUGGAAUUCCGAGUGUAGAGGUGAAAUUCGUAGAUAUUCGGAAGAACACCAGUGGCGAAGGCGGCUUACUGGACGAUUGUUGACGCUGAGGUACGAAAGCGUGGGGAGCAAACAGGAUUAGAUACCCUGGUAGUCCACGCCGUAAACGAUGAUAACUAGCUGUUGGGCCUCAUAGAGGCUCAGUGGCGCAGCUACGACAUUAAGUUAUCCGUCCGUGGGUAGGUACGGUCGCGAGAAUUAAAACGUUAAACGGUAAAGUUAGUACGGCGUGAGACGUGCCGACGGACGACGACGAGGGAGGUAGG